rnacentral:rRNA from 1 species
UACGUAGGGGGCGAGCGUUGUCCGGAUUUAUUGGGCGUAAAGAGCUCGUAGGCGGUUCGGUAAGUCGGCUGUGAAAUCUCCACGCUCAACGUGGAGGGGUCAGUCGAAACUGCCGUGACUCGAGUCCGGUAGAGGAGUGUGGAAUUCACGGUGUAGCGGUGAAAUGCGCAGAGAUCGGGAGGAACACCCGUAGCGAAGGCGGCACUCUGGGCCGGUACUGACGCUGAGACGCGAAAGCGUGGGGAGCGAACAGG